UGUUCUGGAAGACUUCAGACAAGAUCAGAGAGGGGAAGGGAAGGAAGGAGCCAGGCCCCAGACUGGGAGGGAGGGAACAGCAGCAUCGAAAACGUACCGUCCACCGCCUCCCUGUCGCUGAUGUGCUGCAGGUUACAGCCCGUGUCCUCCCGGCUGAUGUCGGUGUCGGUGCGGUUGAAUCAAGAUGCUGAAGCUGAAGGCUUGGUCUGAAAGGUGAAACUGGAAUCAACUUUUCUAACAUCGGAGAAUGACUUCAGGGAAUGGAAUUUGUUUUCCCUGAAACAAAGGUCCGAUGUGAAACGUGGCAAGAUAAGGAUGAAUUUUCCCCAUUUUCUUCGCGUAAAAAAGUCAAAGUAAUGGAGGAUUUGCAAUGCUUAUAAAGUCAAACUCUGUUUACUAAAUG